rnacentral:rRNA from 1 species
UGCAUUAGAGCGGAUGUACACUAACAAUCCUUCGGGUGCGUUAAUGGGCUUUCAGCGGCGGACGGGUGAGUAAUGCCUAGGAAAUUGCCUUGAUGUGGGGGAUAACCAUUGGAAACGAUGGCUAAUACCGCAUAAUGCCUACGGGCCAAAGAGGGGGACCUUCGGGCCUCUCGCGUCAAGAUAUGCCUAGGUGGGAUUAGCUAGUUGGUGAGGUAAUGGCUCACCAAGGCGACGAUCCCUAGCUGGUCUGAGAGGAUGAUCAGCCACACUGGAACUGAGACACGGUCCAGACUCCUACGGGAGGCAGCAGUGGGGAAUAUUGCACAAUGGGCGAAAGCCUGAUGCAGCCAUGCCGCGUGUAUGAAGAAGGCCUUCGGGUUGUAAAGUACUUUCAGUUGUGAGGAAGGGGGUAGCGUUAAUAGCGCUAUCUCUUGACGUUAGCAACAGAAGAAGCACCGGCUAACUCCGUGCCAGCAGCCGCGGUAAUACGGAGGGUGCGAGCGUUAAUCGGAAUUACUGGGCGUAAAGCGCAUGCAGGUGGUUCAUUAAGUCAGAUGUGAAAGCCCGGGGCUCAACCUCGGAACUGCAUUUGAAACUGGUGAACUAGAGUACUGUAGAGGGGGGUAGAAUUUCAGGUGUAGCGGUGAAAUGCGUACAGAUCUGAAGGAAUACCAGUGGCGAAGGCGGCCCCCUGGACAGAUACUGACACUCAGAUGCGAAAGCGUGGGGAGCAAACACGAUUAUAUACCCUGGUAGUCCACGCCGUAAACGAUGUCUACUUGGAGGUUGUGGCCUUGAGCCGUGGCUUUCGGAGCUAACGCGUUAAGUAGACCGCCUGGGGAGUACGGUCGCGCGAUUCACAUCUCAAAUGAAUUGACGGGUGCCCGCGCAUCGGUGGAGCAUGU